AACGUACGCUGGCGGCACGCCUAACACAUGCAAGUCGAACGAAGUAGCAAUACUUAGUGGCAGACGGGUGAGUAACAUGUAGGUAUCUGCCCUUUGGCCUGGAAUAACACGAGGAAACUUGUGCUAAUACCGGAUAAGUCUUUACGGAGAAAGCUUUAUGCACCAUUGGAUGAGCCUGCACUUGAUUAGUUUGUUGGUGGGGUAAUGGCCUACCAAGACUGUGAUCAAUAGCUGAUUUGAGAGGAUGAUCAGCCACAUUGGGACUGAGACACGGCCCAAACUCCUACGGGAGGCAGCAGUGGGGAAUCUUGCACAAUGGAGGAAACUCUGAUGCAGCGAUGCCGCGUGAGUGAAGAAGGCCUUUGGGUUGUAAAGCUCUUUCGUCGGGGAAGAAAAUGACUGUACCCGAAUAAGAAGGUCCGGCUAACUUCGUGCCAGCAGCCGCGGUAAUACGAAGGGACCUAGCGUAGUUCGGAAUUACUGGGCUUAAAGAGUUCGUAGGUGGUUGAAAAAGUUAGUGGUGAAAUCCCAGAGCUUAACUCUGGAACUGCCAUUAAAACUUUUCAGCUAGAGUAUGAUAGAGGAAAGCAGAAUUUCUAGUGUAGAGGUGAAAUUCGUAGAUAUUAGAAAGAAUACCAAUUGCGAAGGCAGCUUUACUGGAUCAUUACUGACACUGA
rnacentral:rRNA from 1 species